GCGGCUGUGGCGGAAUGGUAGACGCGCAAGAUUCAGGUUCUUGUGGGGGCGACCCCGUGGAGGUUCAAGUCCUCUCAGCCGCACCA
rnacentral:tRNA from 1 species